rnacentral:rRNA from 1 species
AUUGAACGCUGGCGGAGUGCUUUACACAUGCAAGUCGAACGGCAGCACGGGAGCUUGCUCCUGGUGGCGAGUGGCGAACGGGUGAGUAACAUAUCGGAACGUAUCCAAUAAUGGGGGAUAACUAAGCGAAAGCUUGGCUAAUACCGCAUACGCCCUGAGGGGGAAAGCUAGGGAUCUUCGGACCUGGCGUUGAUGGAGCGGCCGAUAUCUGAUUAGCUAGUUGGUGGGGUAAAGGCUCACCAAGGCGACGAUCAGUAGCUGGUCUGAGAGGACGACCAGCCACACUGGAACUGAGACACGGUCCAGACUCCUACGGGAGGCAGCAGUGGGGAAUUUUGGACAAUGGGCGCAAGCCUGAUCCAGCCAUUCCGCGUGAGUGAAGAAGGCCUUCGGGUUGUAAAGCUCUUUCGCAAGGGAAGAAAGAUUACGCUCUAACAUAGCGUGAUUAUGACGGUACCUUGAUAAGAAGCACCGGCUAACUACGUGCCAGCAGCCGCAGUAACAC